GAUCUUUCCACGGGUUCGGCACUUGGUGACAGGUUAGUGGUCAAACUGCCUAUGUCAAAAUAGCCAUUAUGUUGCCGCACAUCAAUUGUUGGUUUACUCACCAAUUUUUCUGCCAGGUGCCUUAAGUGAUCUUUUGCAUUAAAAGAAGAGAAAAUGCCGCACUGUGAAUUCUAUGAGGUUCACCAGGGACCAGAAAGCAACUUGGUCACCAUAAUAAUAGUUAUCAUGCACAGAGGUUAACCCGGACCUUGUGCAGGUGUACCGUGCUACCAUAGCCCCAUCACAGCGCGAUAAAUGCUGCAGUGAGACAAGCUGGCUGGCUGGACUAUGAUUCCGAUGUUGGAAGAUAGGACAAGAGCAACAACAACAAAAGGAACUUAAGCAUGGGAUGGCCUUACAGUGAAUGACACUAUGUGUGAAAGUUUUCAAGACGCCCACGAGUGGAAAAUGUACUCCCCCCAGCCAAAUCAAACUCCGCCAGAUUCCUUACAGCUGUGUGCCGUUGAAAUGACUAAUGAAAGCACCUUCUGCUGCUGGUGGAACUUUCACAUCGGGCACCGCUACUGCUGCUCACCAGGACCCGACCCCACGUAUUUACAUACUGGAUGUCACCCCAAAAGCCCCCGACCAGGGGAUUUCCGGGAUGUAAUAAGAACGUCGCUCUGGGCCUUGGAAGGUGCACCGUCUGAGCACUUGUCUGGCAGGGAAGGGGGGGUAGCAUUCCGGACCCCACUCCUCCUUCACCAGACUCUUCUCCUGGGGAGAUGCCCAAUUCAGUCACAGGCCCAUUGGUGACAGGACCCUGCCUGCCUGCCAAGUAUUGAGAUGCUGGGAAUCCCAGCAGGAGGAAUUUGGGGCCCCUGGGCACCUGGAGUGCGGUGCCUGGCUAAGGCAAGGGGCCCAAAAGCUCUGAUAAGUUCAAUCCAUAACAUGGGUAAAAAGGGGGCAUUGUGGGAGCUCAUCUGGGGGACACAUAACUUUGGGGUGACCAGGGGAGGCUUCCUGGGGUUUGUCAUGACUGGGCUGUCAUCAACAGAAAGGAAACUUGAUUAGUAGGAUUUCUACUCGGUUGGCACUGUGGCUUUCUUCCUGAAAAGUUGUGUGUGUGUGUGAGUGUGCUCAGGCGUGUGUGUGUAAGGGGGUGGAGUAGUGCCCUAAAGAGGGAGGCAAAUACUCUAGAGAAGGCCUUGUCCCUGUGGCCACAACCAGCCUGAGUGAGAAGUCAGCCAGCCACUCACUGGGUACCCACCCACUACGGAAUCUGGUUUUUCUGACGGUUUUCCAGGCUCUUCCUGUCCUAUAACUUCGGAGUCUUGUCCCUGCCCACUCUCCAAACAGUAUAUGAGAGUGUUUUUCUAUGUGAAAUGGAUCUCUCCCUAAAAAGAAUGGUAAGACCUGGUUUGAGAUGUCAGUACUUAACCUGCUACAAUGCCAGUAAGAGCUCGCAUUUAUUGAGGACUUUCUGUGCCGAGAGCUUUAUCCCUUCGUAACAUCAGUGCUCACAGCAACCUUUUGAAGAGGUGUCUCACUACUCUCAUUUUACAGAUGAGGCAAGGAAGGCUAUUGCUUGCUCAAACCACAUGGCUAAGAGUUGGCAGAGCCUGGCCUCAAACCCAGGUCUGCGUGACUCCUGAGUCUACGUUCGUGAACGUGAUUCCUCCUUGCGUUCUUUCUCAAGCUUAUUUGGCCACAGAAGUGUUGUGUUUUUUUUUUUUUUUUAAUUUUUAUUUAUUUGCCAGAGAGGAGGGAACACAAGCAGGGGGAGCAGCCGGCAGAGGCAGAGGGAGAAACAGGCUCCCCACUGAGCAGGGAGCCCGAUGCGGGGCUCGAUCCCAGGACCCUGGGACCCUGACCUGAGCUGAAGGCAGAUGCUUGACCGACUGAGCCACCCAGGCGCCUCUGCCACAGAAGCGUUUUUAAUUACACGACCCUCAUCUCUUAGCAUUAUUAUUACCAUUCCAUGGAUCACAUUGUGGGAAAUGGUGCCCCAUGGAAACAGUCUGCCCCACCUGUACAACAGAGAUAAUAAAUAGCACAAUCUCAGUGCUCUGAUAAUUAAA
rnacentral:lncRNA from 1 species